ensembl:lncRNA
CGCUCAGUAACCUUUUUGUAUUGUAUUGUUAGAUUAAUGAUUAAUAACUGAUGACAAAGAUCACAGACCUAGUAAUGUUUAACCCAGCUUGUUUAACUUCCUUCCAGGAUGAAAAAUACCUUGGUUUGUUUGGGAUAGGUAACACUUAUUGAAUUCUUCCAGAUCGUUCAUCACCGGUGUCCCUCUCUCUUCGUCUUUCACCGCAGACAGAUAUACUGAUGCUGAGCACUGGACAUGCAGAGACAAGGGUUGUGUUGUUUUUGAAGAGGAACACGGUCUGUCUGUCCACCAGCAGGUGAAGGAGACAAAGAAGAGUUGUAGCAUUCAUCCUCAUGUCUGAGUGAAGAAUAACCACACGGUGUGUUGACAGAGGUGAGAGGGAUGGGGUCAAAGGUCACACCUGCUGAUAAUUCAGCUGUCUGAACAGACAAUUCUCCCGCAUGGAUGUACCUUAUUGAAACCGACAAAGAUGGGCUGAAAAAAACUCAAAACAACAUCUGUUUUUCUUUGAGAUGUUCUUAAAACCCUUGAAUAAUAAAUAAUAAAUAAUAAAGUGCAACUUAAAAUAUGCAGGUUGCAUAGUUAGGAGUGAGCAAAACAAAUUAGAAAAAAAAGUAUAAAGUCAAAAGGUCAAAGGUUGUGCAUCAACUUGAAGGAAGUUAUCAGGUUGCAUCAGGUUGACAAGUUGCAUUAUGCACUUACCCUCAAAAAGAAAAAGAAAAAGGCCAUUAAUACAUUUCACAGUUUGAUUUUAAGGACAUUUUAGUUUACUUAUAUGAAAAAAAAAAUAUGAUUCUGUGUUUGGUACUGCAGUUGAACUCGUAGCUAUUCAUAAACUUAUUCCAUUGUAUGCUCAUACACGCUUAAAAAUAAAGAUUCUUUAUUGGCAUCUAUGGUUCCAUAAAGAAUCUUUACAUUCAUGGCAUCUUUCCAUUCCAUUAAAAAGCUUCCUUAUAGUGGAAAAAGUUCUUUAGGUUAUUAAAAUGUUCUUCACACUAAGAAAAUAUGCUUCUUUUAAGAACUGUUCACUGAAAGGUUCUUUUGGAGGAAGUCCUUCUAUGUCAAGAAAACCCCCUUUUAAGAAUGGAAUCAUAGACCAAUCAAACACAGAGGCAGCAGUAUGGACGUGAUAUUCGAGAGUUGUUGGGAGGAUGUUAUGCUUCCUGUGCGAAUCGACUUCUGACCCAGUCCAUCCUCUCUACCUGGAGCCAGACCACGUCUCCACUUUUCCUCUCUUCUCUUUUCUCACUAUACUGUAGCUCCUUCCAACAAACAUAACUGUUGCCUUAGUGCUGCAUGACUGACUUGCCAGCUAAGACUUUUCUCCUGAGCGCCACUGUAUAAAAUCUGCUAUUCUCUGCACCCACGGUCUCUCAUCUGCUCUAAUGUGGGCUGACGCCCCCCUCUUUGAAGUCUAUGGGUGCUGUGAACCUGGGCCCACCCAACAAAAGCAGGCUGAUCCGUGGCUGACACUCCAGCAGACCCACUUAUGCUGACAUAGGAUUGGAAAAAAGACAAGGCCUUUUUUUCCUAAGAAGCUUUCUUUCACGCUAGAGCUUCUCCUGAGACCUGAGACAGUUUGACGUCAGAAUUUGAUUUGUUUCAUUGGUGUCAAAGCAAUAUGUAUCAAGUUGUGAAAUUGAACUGCUUUAGAUCAUAUCAAAUAAAUAUCCUUCAGCAAGCAGCUUGCAUUCUUUACAUUUCUUGCGAUGCAUCCAUGGUAUAGAGAUGCAAUGUGCAUGUAAAGUUUUGGUGGUUAAUCCAGUGGGAAUAAUUAUAUGGAUAUGUACUGUAAUUAUAUGGAUGUGUGAACCUGUUCAUAAAAUCUGAGUAGCAGACC